AGUGAACGCUGGCGGUAGGCCUAACUCAUGCAAGUCGAACGGCAGCACAGUAAGAGCUUGCUCUUACGGGUGGCGAGUGGCGGACGGGUGAGGAAUACAUCGGAAUCUACUUUUUCGUGGGGGAUAACGUAGGGAAACUUACGCUAAUACCGCAUACGACCUACGGGUGAAAGCAGGGGAUCUUCGGACCUUGCGCGAUUGAAUGAGCCGAUGUCGGAUUAGCUAGUUGGCGGGGCAAAGGCCCACCAAGGCGACGAUCCGUAGCUGGUCUGAGAGGAUGAUCAGCCACACUGGAACUGAGACACGGUCCAGACUCCUACGGGAGGCAGCAGUGGGGAAUAUUGGACAAUGGGCGCAAGCCUGAUCCAGCCAUACCGCGUGGGUGAAGAAGGCCUUCGGGUUGUAAAGCCCUUUUGUUGGGAAAGAAAAGCAGCAGGUUAAUACCCCGCUGUUCUGACGGUACCCAAAGAAUAAGCACCGGCUAACUUCGUG
rnacentral:rRNA from 1 species